GGAUCGGCAGUCGCGGAGAUUUUAAAUUGCAAGUUUAAAGGGAAAUUUUGUUUUCGGUCCU
rnacentral:tRNA from 1 species